GGGGAGGAGGGCGGGGGAGCGAGGCCUGCCACCCCCACUUCCUUAGCGAGGAGAGCUGGGACUCCUCACCCUUCUCCCUUAGGGUGGCAAGGCCAAGGCCCUUGGUGUCGCGGGGGAGGAAGGGGUUAAGGUCCCAGAGGGGGCGACGGGACUGGGCCGAACUCCGGGGUGCGGCUCAGCGGGCCAGGAAGCCGCGACCCGGGAACGCGGCGGCGGUGGCCAGCUUUCUGCAGACGCAGCGAUCUUCCUCCUGGUUGAGGUGGCCGCACAGGGCCAGGGACCGCGGGGCUGGGGGCCUGGCGGGCGCGGGGCUGCUCCCGGCCUCCGAAGCCCUUCCCCUGCCCGCCUGGGACCAAGGGGCCCGGGUCUGUGCGGGGCGCCAGGGCGGAAGAGGUCAACGUGGUUCAGAGUGGUGGGGGGUGGCGAGGUGGCGAGAGAGCCAGUGUGGGGAAGGCUGGGGAGAGAUGAGGGCCAGGAGGGCGGGGAGGCCUGAAUGCGGACAGUGUGGCCAGUGUUGGCUGCAGGCCACCAGCGGCUGGACGUGGGGGAGGGGAGCCCAGCAUGGGGAGGGGAGGGGGAAGGGAAGUUCUUUAAAAAAAAGCCUGCUAGCAGAGCCCUCGAGUGGAGAAGGGUGGUCCUGGGCAGAGCCUGAAGCCUGAGGUCAGAAGGCAGACAACGGGCAGAGGCCACGGGUGGGUCAGGAAGAGCUGCUGGGAUAUCAGCCUGGUGCCAGACCCAACAGAGUGCCCAAGACCCCCUCUGCCCCUAGUGUCCGAGACCCCCUCUGCCCCUAGAGUGUCCGAGACCCCCUCUGUCCCUAGAGUGUCCGAGACCCCCUCUGUCCCUAGAGGGUCCGAGACCCCCUCUGUCCCUAGACGAAAGGGACAUUUGCUGACCCUUCUGAGACAUGUCAGGUGCCACUGGGCUUGUGACUCUUGUUCAAUUCAGUCCCCACAGGGGUUGGGCUUCCCUGUGGGAGGAGAGUCUGAGGUCCUGAUAGGCAGACAGCCUGCCCAGGUUCCAUGCUCAUUCUAGAGCCCAGCUGGCUGCUCCACCACCUGCAGGGAGACACGCCAUGGCCACCUGCCCCAGGGCCUCUUGGACACAGGCUUUCGAAGGUGUUAAGGGUUUGGAAAUGCUCCAAGGGGGCCAGGGACAGGAGGGUUUCUCCUCAAAGGGUCUUUGGGGUGGGGAGAGUCCAGGUGCCCCAGUUCUUCUGGGUGUAGACGGCCUCUUCCUAACCCUGGAUGUCCCUCAGUGCCCACAAGCAAAGGGUAGUAAAACCUCUCUUUGAGCCCAAGCUCAGGGAAGAGAAGGAAAGCAGGGUGCUAGGUCUUAACCCUGCACACUAGCAAGCCCACGGUCUUUAUUUUUCCUCAAAAUGAAUCUUUCUAAUGGGGCUGAACCUCCAGCAUUCAGGCUGGAGCUCACCCAGGCAGAGAGAGGAGCACUUGUGUAUCCACCCCUGAAAAGCGAGCCCUGCCUACCCCAGCCCCGCCCCAGUCUCUGGUCUCCGUGCAGCCUGCCCCUCCCCCAGCUCAUUUGCAGAAGAGCCAAGUUCGGCCCUUUAGCGUUUGCUCCAUCCCUGGAUCCCACUGGGUCCAGCGGAGAGGAGAUCCACAGAUCCAGGGUGCUUUGGGUCCAGUGUUGGCAGACUGAGCAAAUAAAAAUCUAGGGCGCCCAGUGAAAUUUGAAUUUCAGAUGCACAAUGCAUAAUCUUUUAGUGGAAGUUGUCCCAUGAAAUGCUGGAGACAUAUUUCUACUUUUUUAAAAAAAGGAUGUGUUGUUUAUGUAAAAUUCAGACUCUAGUUGGCCAUCCUGGAUUUUAUCUGGAAGCCGUAUUUUGGUCCUGAGUCGUCAACAGGGUCAGUCCCUGCCCACAGGGAUGUUCUAGUCCAGUAGGAGAGAGAAGGCAUGGGAAGCUGAAAGCCACCUGUCCUGCCACUGUGGUUAUGAUACUGUAUGUUGUCAGGCAUAGAACAAUUGCUGGAUGACUGCAUGAUGGUAGGGUCCUCACCUGGUAUUUAGUGGGGGCUGGGUGGGAGUUCUCAGGUUCUCUGUGCAUGCGAUACAACCCAGAGAAGUGGGGGAGACCAGAAUGGGUCCCUCUGCCAUUUGACCCACAUUGGGCUCCUCCCCGACUCCCGCCAGCACCAAACAGCAAACUUCUAGAGCAAACAAGGGAGAUGGCUGGUGCACCAACUCCCCUCACCAGAGAACCUUUACCUGUCCACAGCUCCAUUUCUUGGUUACCUUAAAGGAUGAGCCAAGAUGGUGAAGAUGAAUUGGGUUGGGAGAGAACCUUAAGCACUCCUGGAAAACUCCCUAAGUAAACACACAGGUUAUUUUUUCACCAGGGAACAUUAAACAUCUUGUGUCAGAUCUAAAUGUCUUCUAACGAUUUCUGGCCUGGAGUCUUAGUUUGACUGAGGCAUGGACACACAGUCAUAUUUACCUCUAAAGAACUCUCCUGACCCCUCUCCCCCUCUCUAAAGAACUCUCCUGACCCCUCUCCCCCUCUCUAAAGCUCUCUGCCUUCUUCCCUCAGUUCCUGCUGGGGGGAUUAUCUGUGGAUCUGAAACCUCAGCCUCAGCCUCCCCAACUUUAUCCUGGGUCCCUAAGAGUGACAUUGGGACAGGAGAGUUAGGACAAGCCGCAAAUUGGCAAGCCUGCACUUGGACAAAAUCAAAUCUUCUUUCUUCUCCAAAUAAGCGUAUUCUCUGGCUCUGUGUUCUGGUGGCUGCUCCUCUGAGAAGGUGACUGCUGGGCAGAGGAAAUCCUACUGAAGGUUGUUAUUCUUGGACACAAGUGUCUACUUCCUGCAGCCACCACACCCCCAACUCCCUCCUCCUGCUCCUCUCUUCCCUUUGCAGUAAAUGAUAACAGUUAACAUUGAUUGAGCUUACUAUGUGCCAAGCACUUUAGGGGAAUUAUCUCAUUAAAUCCUCACAUCUGGUGAGGUGGGGAAUGUCAUUGUCCCUCUCUCACAGGUGGCAAUAUGGAGGCCUUGAGUAACCUGCCCAAGGUCAAACAGCCAGUCAAUGAGGAAAGAAGGAUUUAGAGCUAGCAUCAUCCGCCUCUCAGGGUCCGUCCUGCUCCCAAUUUCCAGGGUCCUGUGAGUCCUUCAGAGGCCAGCUCAGGCCCCAUCCCCUCCCUGAGGUUGUUCUAGAUUAUUCCAGCCUUUACCAGGGCCUGCUCUGCUGAAUUAUUGAUGUAUUCACUGUUUACUGCCCCCCACCCCCGCCCACUACUCAUUGUCAAUCAAUUGCACAUUCCAACACCCAUAUAUGCAUAUGGGCCUGGAUUCUCCAACUAGACAGAGCCUGGAGCUCCUGAAAGGAAAACAGUGUGUCUUGGUGUCCUCUGCACUCCCUCAGCUCCUGCACAGUUCUUAAAUAGAAACCUCAGAAUCCAAUGCCUUGUGUCUGUAUAGAACUGU
rnacentral:lncRNA from 10 species